rnacentral:rRNA from 1 species
AGUGAACGCUGGCGGUAGGCCUAACACAUGCAAGUCGAACGGCAGCACAGUAAGAGCUUGCUCUUACGGGUGGCGAGUGGCGGACGGGUGAGGAAUACAUCGGAAUCUACUUUUUCGUGGGGGAUAACGUAGGGAAACUUACGCUAAUACCGCAUACGACCUACGGGUGAAAGCAGGGGAUCUUCGGACCUUGCGCGAUUGAAUGAGCCGAUGUCGGAUUAGCUAGUUGGCGGGGUAAAGGCCCACCAAGGCGACGAUCCGUAGCUGGUCUGAGAGGAUGAUCAGCCACACUGGAACUGAGACACGGUCCAGACUCCGACGGGAGGCAGCAGUGGGGAAUAUUGGACGAUGGGCGCAAGCCUGAUCCAGCCAUACCGCGUGGGUGAAGAAGGCCUUCGGGUUGUAGAGCCAUUUUGUUGGGAAAGAAAAGCAGCAGGUUAAUACGCCGCUGUUCUGACGGUACCCAAAGAAUAAGCACCGGCUAACUUCGUG